rnacentral:rRNA from 1 species
UAAUACGGAGGGUGCAAGCGUUAAUCGGAAUUACUGGGCGUAAAGCGCACGCAGGCGGUUUGUUAAGUCAGAUGUGAAAUCCCCGGGCUCAACCUGGGAACUGCAUUUGAAACUGGCAAGCUAGAGUCUCGUAGAGGGGGGUAGAAUUCCAGGUGUAGCGGUGAAAUGCGUAGAGAUCUGGAGGAAUACCGGUGGCGAAGGCGGCCCCCUGGACGAAGACUGACGCUCAGGUGCGAAAGCGUGGGGAGCAAACAGGAUUAGAUACCCUGGUAGUCCACGCUGUAAACGAUGUCGAUUUGGAGGUUGUGCCCUUGAGGCGUGGCUUCCGGAGCUAACGCGUUAAAUCGACCGCCUGGGGAGUACGGCCGCAAAGGUUA